GGUUGAAGUUAUUGACAAUAUAUCAACAAAGGAGACUGGCAGAGGGAGAGAGGAAUAAGACAAGUUAGCAUUGACGGUAUGGAAUGAUAGAUGUAUGGAGGUGAUGGAACGAUAGCUGUAAGGAGGUGAUGGAAUGAUAGAUGUAUGGAGGUGAUGGAACAAUGGCUGUAUGGAGGUGAUGGACUGAUAGAUGCAUGGAGGUGAUGGAAUGAUAGACGUAGGGAGGUGAUGGAAUGAUAGCCACAUGGAGGUGAUGGAAU